rnacentral:rRNA from 1 species
UUGCAGUUAAAAAGCUCGUAGUUGGAUUUCGGAACCGGCCGAUUGGUCCGUCCUCUGGAUCGUGUACUGAUCGGUCUGUUCUUCUUCGCGAAGACCGCGUGUGCUCUUAACUGAGUGGGCGUGGGAUUCGCGACGUUUACUUUGAAAAAAUUAGAGUGUUCAAAGCAGGCAGUCGCUUGAAUAUCUCAGCAUGGAAUAAUAGAAUAGGACUUUGGUCUUAUUUUGUUGGUUUCCGAGACCGAAGUAAUGAUUAAUAGGGACAGUUGGGGGCAUUCGUAUUUCAUUGUCAGAGGUGAAAUUCUUGGAUUUAUGAAAGACGAACUUCUGCGAAAGCAUUUGCCAAGGAUGUUUUCAUUAAUCAAGAACGAAAGUUGGAGGCUCGAAGACGAUCAGAUACCGUCCUAGUUCCAACCAUAAACGAUGCCGUCUGCGGAUCGGAGGUCGCUCAUGUAAAGGCUCCCUUCGGCACGCUAUGAGAAAUCAAAGGCUUCGGGUUCCGGGGGGAGUAUGUUCGCAAGAAUGA